UACGGGGGGGGCAAGCGUUGUUCGGAAUUACUGGGCGUAAAGGGCUCGUAGGUGGCCAACUAAGUGCGUCGUGAAAUCCCCCGGCUCAACUGGGGAACUGCACAGGAAACUAGCGGGCUUGAGUUCGGGAGAGGGAAGCGGAAUUCCGGGUGUAGCGGUGAAAUGCGUAGAUAUCCGGAGGAACACCGGUGGCGAAGGCGGCUCCUGGACCGACACUGACGCUGAGGCGCGAAGCUAGGGAGC
rnacentral:rRNA from 1 species